CGGGAAAAGCUCAAAUUUAAAAUCUGGCGGUCUUUGGCUGUCCGAGUUGUAAUCUAGAGAAGUGUUAUCCGCGCUGGACCGUGUACAAGUCUCCUGGAAUGGAGCGUCAUAGAGGGUGAGAAUCCCGUCUUUGACACGGACUGCCAGGGCUUUGUGAUGCGCUCUCAAA
rnacentral:rRNA from 1 species